rnacentral:rRNA from 1 species
UACGAAGGGGGCUAGCGUUGCUCGGAAUUACUGGGCGUAAAGGGCUCGUAGGCGGUUUGUCGCGUCGGGAGUGAAAACGCCGGGCUUAACUCGGUGCUUGCUUUCGAUACGGGCAGACUAGAGGCAUGCAGGGGAGAACGGAAUUCCUGGUGUAGCGGUGAAAUGCGCAGAUAUCAGGAGGAACACCGGUGGCGAAGGCGGUUCUCUGGGCAUGUCCUGACGCUGAGGAGCGAAAGUGUGGGGAGCGAACAGG